rnacentral:rRNA from 1 species
ACAAUGCGGGACUAUACGUCUUGCAAUUGGAUUGAGAACAAUGUACAACUCUUAUCGAUAAGCCAUUGGAGGGCAAGUCUGGUGCCAGCAGCCGCGGUAAUUCCAGCUCCAAUAGCGUAUAUUAACGUUGUUGCAGUUAAAAAGCUCGUAGUUGAAGUGUGGGUGAUCGCUGUUGUGAGACUUCGGUCUCUCGACAGUAAGUCACCCCCUUCCAGUAUCCAGUAGUGGGUAUUCAGUUACUUACUACUGUGUGUUGGUCCUUUACUGUGAGAAAAUUAGAGUGUUCAAAGCAGGCGUUUGCUUGAAUAGAUUAGCAUGGAAUAAUAAUUGAAGGCUUUCGUGUUCGAUUUGAUUGGUUUGUUCAUGGAAGCAAGGUUAAAAGGAACAGUUGGGGGUAUUCAUAUUCACUAGUUAGAGGUGAAAUUCUCGGAUUUAUGGAA